GUUGGUGGGUUAGCAUUGGGGGUACACCCGUUCUCAUUCCGAACACGGAAGUUAAGCCCAAUUGCGCCGAUGGUACUUCUUCGGAGGAAGAGUAGGUCACCGCCAACU
rnacentral:rRNA from 1 species